rnacentral:rRNA from 1 species
GCAGCAACGCCGCGUGCCCGAUGACGGCCUUCGGGUUGUAAAGGGCUUUUCUGAGGGACGAGAAAGGACGGUACCUCAGGAAUAAGGAUCSGYUAACUACGUGCCAGCAGCCGCGGUAACACGUAGGAUUCGAGCGUUAUCCGAAUUUACUGGGCGUAAAGCGCGUGUAGGCGGUUACGCAAGUUGGAUGUGAAAUCUUCCGGCUCAACUGGGAGAGGCCGUCCAAAACUGCGUGGCUAGAGAGCGACAGAGGGAGGUGGAAUUCCCGGUGUAGUGGUGAAAUGCGUAGAUAUCGGGAGGAACACCAGAGGCGAAAGCGGCCUCCUGGGUCGCAUCUGACGCUGAGACGCGAAAGCCAGGGGAGCGAACGGGAUUAGAUACCCCGGUAGUCCUGGCUGUAAACGAUGCAGACUAGGCGUUUGGGAGGUAAAACUCUUGAGUGCCGGAGCUAACGCGAUAAGUCUGCCGCCUGGGAAGUACGGUCGCAAGGCUAAAACUCAAAGGAAUUGGCGGGUCCCCGCACAAGCAGCGGAGCGUGUGGUUUAAUUCGAUGCUACGCGAAGAACCUUACCCGGGUUUGACAUGCUGGUGGUAGAGAAGCGAAAGUGGAUCGACCCUUCGGGGAGCCAGCACAGGUGCUGCAUGGCUGUCGUCAGCUCGUGUCGUGAGAUGUCCGGUUAAGUCCGGUAACGAGCGCAACCCUUGCCGUAUGUUACAAGU